rnacentral:rRNA from 1 species
GAUACCUACGGGAGGCAGCAGUGGGGAAUAUUGCACAAUGGGGGAAACCCUGAUGCAGCGACGCCGCGUGAGUGAAGAAGUAUUUCGGUAUGUAAAGCUCUCUCAGCAGGGAAGAAAAUGACGGUACCUGACUAAGAAGCCCCGGCUAACUACGUGCCAGCAGCCGCGGUAAUACGUAGGGGGCAAGCGUUAUCCGGAUUUACUGGGUGUAAAGGGAGCGUAGACGGCAGAGCAAGUCUGAAGUGAAAGCCCGCGGCCCAACU